UACGUAGGGUGCGAGCGUUAAUCGGAAUUACUGGGCGUAAAGCGUGCGCAGGCGGCGCGUUAAGACAGGUGUGAAAGCCCCGAGCUUAACUUGGGAAUUGCGCUUGUGGCUGGCGUGCUGGAGUGUGGCAGAGGGAGGUGGAAUUCCACGUGUAGCAGUGAAAUGCGUAGAGAUGUGGAGGAACACCGAUGGCGAAGGCAGCCUCCUGGGCCAGCACUGACGCUCAUGCACGAAAGCGUGGGGAGCAAACAGG
rnacentral:rRNA from 1 species